rnacentral:rRNA from 1 species
GGAGUCUGGACCGUGUCUCAGUUCCAGUGUGGGGGACCUUCCUCUCAGAACCCCUACCGAUCGUAGCCACGGUGGGCCGUUACCCCGCCGUCAAGCUAAUCGGACGCAUCCCCAUCCUAUAGCGGUAAACCUUUGGUAUUCGUCAGAUGUCAUCAAAAUACAACAUAGGGUAUUAAUCCGCAUUUCUACGGGCUAUCCCCUACUAUAGGGAAGGUUGGAUACGCGUUACUCACCCGUGCGCCGGUCGCCAUCGGCCUUAGCAAGCUAAGACCAUGCUGCCCCUCGACUUGCAUGUGUUAAGCCUGUAGCUAGCGUUCAUC